CGAUGGCAACAAUUGCGGGGUGCCCCGGGCGACCGGGGAGAAUCGGGAAGCCGGUGUGAGUCCGGCACGGGCCCGCCGCGGUAACCGGGAAGUCGCCGUCCACGCGUGCCACGCAGCCACUGGGCCACCGGCCUGGGAAGGCGGACGGUCCGGCGUCGAUCCGGGAGUCCGAAGACCGGCCCCGCCGCCACGCCGCCC
rnacentral:ncRNA from 2 species